GCAAGUCGAGGGGCAUCGGGAUCUGUGCUGCACAGAUGCCGGCGACCGGCGCACGGGUGAGUAACGCGUAUCCAACCUUCCCUUAGUAGGGCAUAGCCCGGCGAAAGUCGGAUUAAUACCCUAUGUUUUCCAAUGAGGACAUCUGAGCUGGAACAAAGAUUCAUCGCUAAGGGAUGGGGAUGCGUCCGAUUAGGCAGCAGGCGGGGUAACGGCCCACCUGGCCGACGAUCGGUAGGGGUUCUGAGAGGAAGGUCCCCCACACUGGUACUGAGACACGGACCAGACUCCUACGGGAGGCAGCAGUGAGGAAUAUUGGUCAAUGGGCGCGAGCCUGAACCAGCCAAGUAGCGUGCAGGAAUGACGGCCCUAUGGGUUGUAAACUGCUUUUAUGCGGGGAUAAAGUGCGUCACGUGUGGCGUUUUGCAGGUACCGCAUGAAUAAGGACCGGCUAAUUCCGUGCCAGCCGCAGC
rnacentral:rRNA from 1 species